UUCCUUCUGCCAGAAUCUCAGGAACUCCUGGAUCUGCCUUUCCAGAACCAGCUUCUCUCUCCCUGCUCUGCCUUCAGACUGCCCUCUUUCUACCUCUCCCUCUAGAACUACAUCUCUUCUGGCUGGGUUUAUAGCUUGGGGCUGGGGGAGGCCCAGUGGGACUGGCUGAGUGGAGCCAGCCGUGUGACGGAGGCGGCCCUCUUCCAGUUGGGCACUGCCACCCUCUCGUGGUCCAAGCAGCACAUGAGCAGAACCAGGUGCUCAACACCAACAGCCGGUACCUGCAUGACAACAUCGUGGACUAUGCGCAGAGGCUGUCAGAGACCCUGCCGGAGCAGCUCUGUGUGUUCUAUUUCCUGAAUUCUGGGUCAGAAGCCAAUGACCUGGCCCUGAGGCUGGCUCGCCACUACACGGGACACCAGGACGUGGUGGUAUUAGAUCAUGCGUAUCACGGCCACCUGAGCUCCCUGAUUGACAUCAGUCCCUACAAGUUCCGCAACCUGGAUGGCCAGAAGGAGUGGGUCCACGUGGUAUGCACUGCCCAACUCAACAACAGGUCGGUGCCUGUCCCCAAGCCCGGAUAACAUGGCGCUGUCACUCCCCACAGGCACCUCUCCCAGACACCUACCGGGGCCCCUACCGGGAGGACCACCCCAACCC
rnacentral:sRNA from 1 species